AUGAAGAGUUUGAUCCUGGCUCAGGAUGAACGCUAGCGGCAGGCCUAACACAUGCAAGUCGAGGGGUAACAGGGAGCUUGCUCUGCUGACGACCGGCGCACGGGUGCGUAACGCGUAUGGAACCUACCUUCUACAGGGGAAUAGCCCAGGGAAACUUGGAUUAAUGCCCCAUGGUACUAUUAUAUGGCAUCAUCAUUAUGUUAAACAGUCUUCGUCGGUAGAAGAUGGNCAUGCGUCCCAUUAGCUUGAUGGUAAGGUAACGGCUUACCAUGGCUACGAUNGGUAGGGGCCCUGAGAGGGGGAUCCCCCACACUGGUACUGAGACACGGACCAGACUCCUACGGGAGGCAGCAGUGAGGAAUAUUGCUCAAUGGAGGAGACUCUGAUCCAGCCAUGCCGCGUGCAGGAAGAAUGCCCUAUGGGUUGUAAACUNCUUUUAUCUGGGAAGAAACAUGUCUACGUGUGACCGGUUGACGGUACUGUAAGAAUAAGGAUCGGCUAACUCCGUGCCAGCAGCCGCGGUAAUACGGAGGAUCCAAGCGUUAUCCGGAUUCAUUGGGUUUAAAGGGUCCGUAGGCGGUCAAUUAAGUCAGGGGUGAAAGUCUGUAGCUCAACGGUAGGAUUGCCUUUGAUUCUGGUGGUCUUGAAUCAUUGUGAAGUGGUUAGAAUAUGUAGUGUAGCGGUGAAAUGCAUAGAUAUUACAGAGAAUACCAAUUGCGAAGGCAGAUUACUGGACGAAGACUGACGCUCAGGGACGAAAGCGUGGGGAGCGAACAGGAUUAGAUACCCUGGUAGUCCACGCCGUAAACGAUGGAUACUAGCUGUCCGGAACCUUGAGUUCUGGGCGGCCAAGCGAAAGUGAUAAGUAUCCCACCUGGGGAGUACGUUCGCAAGAAUGAAACUCAAAGGAAUUGACGGGGGCCCGCACAAGCGGUGGAGCAUGUGGUUUAAUUCGAUGAUACGCGAGGAACCUUACCAGGGCUUAAAUUCAUUUUGACAGGGGGUAGAGCAUACUUUUUCCUUCGGGGAAAUUUUGCAAGGUGCUGCAUGGUUGUCGCCAGCUCGUGCCGUGAGGUGUCAGGUUAAGUCCUAUAACGAGCGCAACCCCUCUGUUUAGUUGCCAGCAUGUCAAGUGGGGGACUCUAACGAGACUGCCGGUGUAAGCCGUGAGGAAGGUGGGGAUGACGUCAAAUCAUCACGGCCCUUACGUCCUGGGCUACACACGUGCUACAAUGGCCCGUACAGAGAGUAGCCAUCAGGCAAGGUAGAGCGAAUCUAUAAAACCGGUCACAGUUCGGAUCGGGGUCUGCAACUCGACCCCGUGAAGCUGGAAUCGCUAGUAAUCGGAUAUCAGCCAUGAUCCGGUGAAUACGUUCCCGGGCCUUGUACACACCGCCCGUCAAGCCAUGGAAGCCGGGAGUGCCUGAAGCCCGUCACCGCAAGGAGCGGUCUAGGGUAAGAUUGGUAACUAGGGCUAAGUCGUAACAAGGUA
rnacentral:rRNA from 1 species